rfam:Leersia perrieri chromosome 11, whole genome shotgun sequence.
AAUACAUGUCACCGUUGACUUUUAACCACAUGUUUGACCAUUCGUCUUAUUCAAAAAAUUUAUGCAAAUAUUAUUUAUUUUUGUUAUGAAUUGGUUUAUUACUAUAGAUAUUUUAAACAUGGCUUGCAUUUUUAUAUAUUUGCAUAAAUUUUUUGAAUAAGACGAAUGGUCAAACAUGUGAUAAAAAGUCAACGGCAACAUGUAUU